UUGAAGCGUUUGCUGAGAAAAUCAACAUCACAUGGUAAGCUAGAGGGAUGCGCUACUUCGAAUGCCGAUGUCCAGGACGAAUUCUCGGCGACUCCUGCCGAAACUCCACUUCCCAAGCGCAAUCUUUGAAUGAGACACAUCCAACGUGACGAUCCCGAGCCUGGUCCUUCAAAAGAGGAAGUGAAACUCGACAGUGCCACUCACGAAUUCGUUGGAAAGCAUAGGCGACUCCAGGACGAUCUAACAGAUGAAACGGUGGCGUUAGCUCGACACAUGAGAGAGUCGACACUGCUCAUGCAGACAAAGUUUGUUCCAAGUCAUUUCC